GCCCGCAAUCCCCAAUCCCGUCGCGACCGAUUCGCCUCCUCCCCUCCACCUUCUUCCUCGCGCGCGACGGUUGAUGGUGCUGCUCAGCCUCCACCGCAUCCACUCCUCGGGCCAGCAGGGGCGAGAAGGCGCUGCCUCCAACCCCCGCGUCCAUCCAUCUCCUCUCUCUCCCACGCCUCUCCCUCUUCUCUCCUGCGGCGCUCCCUCUCAGUCCCCUCCGCGGGAGUGCUGCCGCCGGUGGAGCGUGGCUCAAGCGCGCGGGAGCAGGGCCGACGGUGGAGUGCGGCGCGAGGGCGCGGGAGCGGCGCCGCCAGUGGAGCACGGCCCGCGGAGGCGGUCGCCCUCACGGCCAGUGGCAUAGCAGGCUGCGCUUCUCCAUCUCGUCUUCGUCAAUCCGCCCGUGGCGAGGGAUGGAGCUCGCCGGGUGGCUCAGGCCUCCUGGGGGUGAAGCGGGGAGAAGGAAGAUGAGGGUUACGAACAAAUAGGGGAACCAAAUUUUAUGGUCGGUCUCUAGGAAAAUUCGACAAAUGGAAUACAGAGGAUAUGAUUUGGGAUGCAAGGUCCAGGGUGGUUUAGGAUGUUGGCGAUUGAGUAUAUGCUCCCUAAAGCUUGUGACGCCCGAUCUGACCCCUCCUCGCUUUCACAUGCAUGGCAUUCAGGACAGCAAGUCGGGUCUUCAAAGGUUGAAAGACUUUCCCAGAUCAUUUCGGUUUGCCCUUUGUGUUGAGGGUACAAGAUAUACUCCAGCAAAACUUCAAACAGGAUUUGACAGCAUCUAGAUAUGUGCUGAUUCCACGAACAAAGAUUGAUGGCAAGAAGAAUAAUUUUUAUGGACAGAACCUUUGCUAUAUGGCCAAGCUAUCCCUCAAUCACAGAACAGUUUGAUCUCACUAGAUCAAAGCUCUCUCGAGCGACUUGGUGAUGGCAGGUAGUCUCUUUCGACUGUUCACAUGCUUUGUCGUUGAGUUUCUCUCACUCUCCAUACAUUACCAGGAGUUGCAGGUAUGAGACUUCUAUUUUUGAGGUUCAGCCUUCUGAUUAUUGAUUCUUCUAUUGAUUCUAUAUUAAGGUCUCAGCUCAGCUGCGUGUAGCAUUUCACUGUAAUCCACUUUUUCAGUACCAAUGAUCAGUUCAGCAGAGAUGAACAUAAUAUUGAGAAAACUGGGAGCUACAUGCUAACAGUGAGCUUAAAAUAUUUAUGUUCUCUGUACCCAUGUCCCCCUCGGCUGUUUUUGGACUACUACGCAAUAAGUGAUUUGUGCUUGCUUUUAGUCCCAUUUAGUGUUUCAGAUGUAGCUUGAUUUACAUUUCCGGCCUUCUUAUAUGUCUGAUCUAGAUUGAUCUCUAUACUGCUUUACUUUGUUUUGAUGUAGCUAGGAAGGGUUCUGUGAGCGUCAUGAAGAGAAAACUUAAUGCUUGCACAAUGUCUUCUGAAUACGGCUCAUAAAUGUAGAGAUAACUUAAUCUACUUUGUGUUUGCUGGGCAAUGAGUGUAGACUUUGUAAAUCACUAGCCAAUGACAGCAGGGUGUAGAUGGAUUCUAGGAUGGUGGCGAGGGAGAAUUGUUUCAGUUGGAAGGUAGUCUGAGAUGCUCAUUAAUUAAUUUCUCCUUGCAGGUUAACCUUCGAUGUUAUUUCCCUUCUACGACACAAUGUCUACAAGUUACUUAAACGCCUUAAUGGUUUCAGAUAUGAUUUGUGCCUAAUAAUCGAGCUGCCUUUGUGAAAUUGAUGGUUGUUACUUGUGAGCUCUUGCAGACUGCUGAUCAGUUUUUUUUGCAUUCAAAGUUCCCAUGCGAAUUAACAAGCUAAAUAUCCUGUCAAUUCAAAAAGAUUUAGUUCCAUCUGUUCAUGUUCUUAUUUGAUAUAAAAAGGAGCUUGAAAUAAAAGAUUUUGUACAGAAUGAAAUCCAAUCCCAGAAGUUAGAACAGUUGAUGAGAGGAAAACAUGUGAAAUUGUUCAACUGACAUUGUCAAAGCUCUGUGUGCGGCUGAACCUCCUAUAUGUGAGUUUCUUCUAACCGAUGCUGCUACGUUGCUUUUAUGUAGAACAACUUAUCAAGUUCCUGAGCAAUAUCCGGUACACAAAGAGAAAAACAUAGCAAUUGUCAUACAAGAUAUAUUUUUGGAAUGAUUAGUAUUGACGCUGCAGAAGCAUUUCCUUAAAUUUUAUAGACUUCACAUGGAGUUGAUGAUUAUGCUACCAGCCUGAUAUGAUACAUCAUACAACCCCAUUAUGUAGUUGUAUCUUUCACGGUUCCUGGUUUGACGUUGUUCCCUUUUGAAAGUAGCUAUUGUUGUGGUGUCGAGGCAGUAGAGUACGAAAGCAAGGCCUACGAUGUCUACUACCCCUGCAUCUGGGUUGUUGCUACAGCGAGAGAGCUCCUAGGCCUAAUGGUGCAACAAUUGAGAUUUUAGCCUAUUUCUUGGUUUCUUCUCUGCUGCGAUUUUACCCCAGUUCUUUCCUUUUUUUAGUUCUUAUGUUCGAUUCUUUUGUUUUUACUGUGCUUCCAUUCACUGAUUUAUUUUCCUUUUCAUCCUUUUCUGCGUGCUUUUUCAAUUUCUACUUUCUCACAUGAUCCAAAGUUGCUUCUUUUGCAUUUUACUUGACAUGGUUGAUUUGUUCCAUUUUCUUUGCAGGUUGUUGUCUUGCUGGAGAUUGUUGCCCGAGAGCUUAGCGGGUGGUAUCUUUACGCUUUUGCUAGAUUUAGGAUCCUGCCUUAUUGCCGGUAUGCGUUAGGCCUUGAUUUAGGAUCUUUACGCUCUUAUGCUCAUGUGAAAUACAUCUUAUGUUGGUAUUUAUUUCCAUCUUUCUGUUAUAACUUCCUUGCCCACUUCCUAUCACUGCCAUACAUAUACCAGUCUUCUCGUUUGUUUGAUUUUUCCAAAAUCAAUCUGUACUUGUUUUGUGAAUGGCCAUGAAAAUGCAGCUAUUUAUAUACUGACUGCAGUGGAGGUUUAUCUGAAAUAGUGUGUAUGCAUACAUGAUUUGUGUUCUUUUUUUGCUGGAGCAUUUGCUAUUAUGCACAUACGUUGGUGGUUAAUUAAAGCUAUAGAUUAACUCACGCAUGGUCUAUGACUUAUUAACAUGUAUCAUUGCUCAACCUGUUGCUCUUCAAUGAUGUCAAACGGUUUUCUCUAUAUAGCCUGUCAUGUUUGUGUCUCUUUAAUUUUCACCAUUUCCCAUGUGACGCGUGAAAAAUUUCUUAUAGCAUAAGGUCUUGUUUUUGCUGGCUAAAAUUCAGCCUUCUUGGUAGUUUGGAUGGAUAAAGUUCCUAUGUUGAUUCAAGUCUUGAAUAAAACGUUUGUAGCCGCAGACUGCUGAGAUAGAGAAACCUCGGGCUGAUGUACCGUCCAAGAAGAAGGCAGUACUCCGACGGUCAUCCAAAAGCUUAUGAGGUGUAAUCAUCGGUACUUAAACUAAGAUCGCUUCUUCUGUUGUUUCCAUGUAGGUUAUCAUGCCAUUUAUGGAUGAUGUUUGGUCUUAGGCUACGUGUAGUAAGUAAUGGACACCUCUGCUGACAAACUUAGUGAGAACCUUGUGUGUAUGUACAUAUUGUUAUUUCAGAACCAUAUGAUCAGUUUAACUCCA